rnacentral:rRNA from 1 species
GACGAACGCUGGCGGCGUGCCUAAUACAUGCAAGUCGAACGCACUCUCGUUUAGAUUGAAGGAGUUUGCUCCUGAUUGAUAAACAUUUGAGUGAGUGGCGGACGGGUGAGUAACACGUGGGUAACCUGCCCUAAAGUGGGGGAUAACAUUUGGAAACAGAUGCUAAUACCGCAUAAAACCUAACACCGCAUGGUGUAGGGUUGAAAGAUGGUUUCGGCUAUCACUUUAGGAUGGACCCGCGGUGCAUUAGUUAGUUGGUGAGGUAAAGGCUCACCAAGACCGUGAUGCAUAGCCGACCUGAGAGGGUAAUCGGCCACACUGGGACUGAGACACGGCCCAGACUCCUACGGGAGGCAGCAGUAGGGAAUCUUCCACAAUGGACGAAAGUCUGAUGGAGCAACGCCGCGUGAGUGAAGAAGGUUUUCGGAUCGUAAAACUCUGUUGUUGGAGAAGAAUGUAUCUGAUAGUAACUGAUCAGGUAGUGACGGUAUCCAACCAGAAAGCCACGGCUAACUACGUG